GGGCCGGUAGCUCAGCGGUAGAGCAUCUGACUUUUAAUCAGAGGGUCGCGGGUUCGAACCCCGCCCGGCUCACCA
rnacentral:tRNA from 1 species